rnacentral:rRNA from 1 species
GAUGAACGCUGACAGAAUGCUUAACACAUGCAAGUCUUUGGCGAAGCUGUGCUUGCACAGCCUAGCCAAGGCGGACGGGUGAGUAACGCGUAAGGAACUUGCCCUGCAGUCAGGGAUAACAGACGGAAACGACUGAUAAGACCUGGUAAAGUCAGGCGGACUCAUGUCCAGCCUGAUGAAAAGAGAUGCUGCAGGAGAGCCUUGCGUCCUAUUAGCUUGUUGGUGGGGUAACGGCCCACCAAGGCGAUGAUAGGUAGCCGGCCUGAGAGGGUGGACGGCCACAAGGGGACUGAGAUACGGCCCUUACUCCUACGGGAGGCAGCAGUGGGGAAUAUUGGACAAUGGGGGCAACCCUGAUCCAGCAAUUCUGUGUGCACGAUGAAGGUUUUCGGAGUGUAAAGGGCUUUCAGCAGGGAAGAAAAAAAUGACGGUACCUGCAGAAGAAGCGACGGCUAAAUACGUG